UGCUGUGGGUGCUGCUGCUGAUGCUGCACUUGCUGCUGCUGCUGCUGAAGUCUCACUUGCUGUUUGGAUGAAAAGAGCAAAACUUAGAGAAGCCAAAACUAUGCGGUGGAGCUACGUAUACUUUCCUAAAAGGUACACCUUGCAAACUGCACCAGUAUGCAAUCACAAGCAAGUGGGUUAUUUUUCACGAGCGUUACAAAUCUCACCUGCUGAAGGAGCUGUCGCAGUCCAGGAUUCUGCAUUGAUGGCUGUAGCAUACGUGGCUGCCCCAUGGUAGGGCAGGUGUUUGCACCAGUCCCUUGCUGACCGAUGUUCAUGCUCACGUUGGUAAUUCCCGGCUUGUGCUGGAGCUGUUGCUGAAGUUGUUGACGUAUUGCUUGGGUGUGUUGCUGCUGGAGAAGGGAAAGUGUGAUGCUGAAUGUUAGAUAAAUAACAACCGAGUGUGUACGCUUUAUAAAAUCCGUUUCUCCUCAACUAAUGAUAGAAAGAUAUUUAAUUGUGCCAUAUUUGUAUCAUAAAAUGCACAAUUAUCAAAAGCGCAUUUUUGAAAGUUUACUUGUCAAAUGAUUGUAUCAUGACCACACUGGGUUUUUUGCAAGGGAAGUAUACUGACCAAACUCACCUGGCUCUGGCGAAUUUGGAGAAUCUGCAUUUUUUCCUGGUCCGUCUGUUGUUGCUGCAUGCCAAGAGGAGUUCUCGGUUGUAAGACAUUCUGGCCGGGAUUUCCAAGAGGCACAUUAACAUUUCCUUGACCGGGCUGACCCAUACCCUGCGUCACGGUCAGUGGUGGCAUCUGCUGGCCCCCUCCAAUUCCUGUUGAAAAUAGGUAGCAUUACAGUUCAUUCUAAUGAUACCACUUUGUAGCAUUGCAGUAUAGUUUCAGUGACUCCACUUUCUAAAGUCCUACAGCAUUUUAUGCAAAUUGUGAGCAUCGUUAUUUUAGGGAAAUAGAUGGCCCUGUACCAAGGUGAAUGCCAAAGUCUGUGGAGAAUUACAUUCACCAUCUGCCAACCAAAACAAAUCCACUUUGAUCCAAUACUGAACGCAAAAACUGAUCCAGAAAUAUUUCAAGUGGCACAAGAAAUCGGCAAGUUUGCAGCACGAAGAUAUAAUAUUCUCCACAAAUAUAACACAGUUUCUCCUGAAGUAUAAAGCUGGUGGUGUUUCAGUCAAUUAAAACCUAAAUUUCUUUCUUUCUUUCUGAUUACCUUCCUUAGAAGGUUUAGAUAUUUCACUUAUGUAAGUGUUCAAUAACAGGGAAAACAUAUUCAAGACUUCUUAUGCCCUAUUUCAAGUACAGAACUACAACUAAGAUUGUGACUAAAUAAAUAAAAGAAAAAUCUCACAGAAUAAUAAUAGUUAACCCUUAAAUGCUGAGCUGGUAUUUCCGAAAGUGUCUCCCAAAUGCCAGGGGCAUUCGGGAGUGAGCGCCGAAGCAGAAAAAAGUUUUUAUUUUAAAUCACAGCACGCUUAGUUUUCAAGAUUAAGAGUUCAUUUUUGGCUCCUUUUUUUGUCAUUGCCUGAAGUUUAGUAUGCAACCAUCAGAAAUGAAAAAAAUAUCAUUAUCAUAUAUAAAUAUUGGAAUGUAUGACAGCACGGAAAAAAAUUUCAUAUAUGUAUACAAAUUGCGCUGUGAGCAAAACAGUUAAAAGUUAAUGAGUUAAUUAUUUUUUCGUUGUAUUGCAUACUAAAUUGCAAUAAUUUUGGUAUAUAAAAAAUUGUAAAACGAUCAAAGCAACAGAGAGAAAAUAUUAUCACAAUAUGAUGCAUGAAUUCGUAAAGAGCGGAUGUAAAAAAAAAUUGUUUUCAAAAAUUCACCAUAAAUCAAAAUAUUGUG